AUUGAACGCUGGCGGCAGGCCUAACACAUGCAAGUCGAACGGUAACAGGAAGAAGCUUGCUUCUUUGCUGACGAGUGGCGGACGGGUGAGUAAUGUCUGGGAAACUGCCUGAUGGAGGGGGAUAACUACUGGAAACGGUAGCUAAUACCGCAUAAUGUCGCAAGACCAAAGAGGGGGACCUUCGGGCCUCUUGCCAUCGGAUGUGCCCAGAUGGGAUUAGCUAGUAGGUGGGGUAACGGCUCACCUAGGCGACGAUCCCUAGCUGGUCUGAGAGGAUGACCAGCCACACUGGAACUGAGACACGGUCCAGACUCCUACGGGAGGCAGCAGUGGGGAAUAUUGCACAAUGGGCGCAAGCCUGAUGCACCUAUGCCGCGUGUAUGAAGAAGGCCUUCGGGUUGUAAAGUACUUUCAGCGGGGAGGAAGGGAGUAAAGUUAAUACCUUUGCUCAUUGACGUUACCCGCAGAAGAAGCACCGGCUAACUCCGUG
rnacentral:rRNA from 1 species